rnacentral:rRNA from 1 species
UUGGUGAGGUAAAGGCUUACCAAGGCUUCGAUCAGUAGCUGGUCUGAGAGGACGACCAGCCACACUGGGACUGAGACACGGCCCAGACUCCUACGGGAGGCAGCAGUGGGGAAUUUUGGACAAUGGGGGCAACCCUGAUACCAUCCAUGCCGSGUGAGUGAAG